rnacentral:ncRNA from 2 species
CCCCAUCGAUCGGGAGAGACUGGACGGCCAAGCCGCACCAGCGCCGAAGGAGCAACCGCCCCGGAAACUCUCAGGCAAAAGGACCGAUUGAUCAUU